GUGAGCAGAGAGGCUGCAGAGAAAGGACCAGCUCGCUACUCCUUUCCACGGAAUCUGAGGAGCUGAGAUUCCUGGCCACGGAGAGUUGUCGCUUCCUGGGCUCACUCAGAGGCAAGGGUCCCAUGUGCGAGGCACAGCUAAGGACCGUGACACACCCAUGGGCUCCAUCCUCACGCUGGGAUUAGAGAGGACACGGCACCUCCAUCAGUGCAGUGAAGCAGUAAGUGAGCUGGGCUGUUUAAAUGUUACAAAAUGCUCAGGGGGGCGUCAGCCCUGCCAGCCAGGGAGAGGAAGCUUCACGGAAGACAGGCCGCAUCAGCUGGGCCGGGAUGAGAUCUUAACAGAGGGGAGGCUGGCUGGAAAGACGUGUGGCAUUCUAGGCAGCAUUGAGGUCAAUCCUGGCUGCAAGGGGAGGGUCUCGAUGUUAGGCCCUGGGUACUGACUUUAUCCUGUGAGCCACAGAGAGCCCCUGGGAUGUUUUAAAAGCAACAUUAUAGGACAAAGCAGUGUUAUAGGAAGAUGAAUCUGGCA
rnacentral:lncRNA from 1 species